UAUCAUAGGAUAUUAUCAGCCGGGCCUUUUUCUUUUCAUUCGAGUCAAGGGUAAAAUUGAGCUUCUGUUUGGCUUGCCGUGCAGGACUUUGUGCACUCGCUGGGCAUCCAGAAGAGGAGGCUGCGGAAGCACAAGGGUGCUGUCAACACCAUAAGCUUCAACAGUAGCGGGAGCUUGCUCCUGUCUGCUUCGGACGACGAUUUCUCUCUGAGCUCCAACAUUGGCGCUCGCGGUGCCACCUGACAUGUUCAGUCUCAUCAUACUUUGCUACUUGACAAGGAGAAGAAGGAGCACGCUCAGGAGAAGAAGGAGCAAGCCCAGGAGAAAAACAACGAGCAGGAGAAGAGGGGAGCAAGCCCAACUUAAAUUAUUGUUGUUUAUGUUGCUACACGCUUGUUGAUCCGUCAGACUCCACGGCUGCUCCGCAUCGUCCACACAUAGGACAAGGGCGUCAUGGCCAACCAAGGCGCAUGGUGCUCGCAAGCGACGAGCGGAGGUUGUUUGACAUCGGCAUGGAGGAGGAGGACGGGAAUGGAUGGAGGACAGAGCACCUCUCUUCUUCCAGGUUCUUCUCCUUAUCUUCACUUAAUGUAUGUGCAUGUGCUGCAGCUCACCCAUGGUCUUGUUUGUCUUGCAGGUUAGUGAGUAGCUUCAGGAGGAGCUCAAGCACGACUACCAAGAGGCACCACCGCAGCAACAGGGCGACUGUGGAAGGCAUGUUGUAUUUCUGUCAGCCCAGUCCUGACUAUGUCUGUCCGUGAGUCCGACAUUUGAUCGUUGUUGAAGGAGCUCCAUGCUGAAGAAGAGAACACUUGUAGAGAUUGUAACAUUACUUGGAGAGCUUGUAAAGUACUGUAGAGCUUUGCAUUUGUAGAGCUUGUAAAGCAUUGUAUAUGCUAGAGCUUGUAUUACGUGUCAUUUGUAGAGCUUGUAGUGAAUCUGGCUAUUGUUAUUUGAAUAAUUAUGUGUGUUUUUUGCUUGCCUA